rnacentral:rRNA from 1 species
UACGAAGGGUGCAAGCGUUACUCGGAAUUACUGGGCGUAAAGCGUGCGUAGGUGGUUUGUUAAGUCUGAUGUGAAAGCCCUGGGCUCAACCUGGGAUUGCAUUGGAUACUGGCAGGCUAGAGUGCGGUAGAGGAUGGCGGAAUUCCCGGUGUAGCAGUGAAAUGCGUAGAGAUCGGGAGGAACACCAGUGGCGAAGGCGACUUCCUGGCCUGUUCUUGACGCUGAGGCGGCGAAAAGCUAGGGUAGCAAACGGG